GAAGACUCACUCUGCACCCUGCUGCAGCACCGUGCACGGGGUGGGGGGGCGCUUUUUCCAUCUGCCACAGAAAUGUCACUGCUUUGACCUAUCAGAGUGGCAGAGCUGCCUGGGGAAAAAAAA
rnacentral:snoRNA from 1 species